AUUGGAUGUACUUACCUUAUGCCCAAAGCUAAAGCCAGCAUAUUGUGUUGUACACUCGCCUGUAUGCCCAAGUGAAGUCCCAGUUACCUUUGAUGUACUUACCCUAUGCCCAAAGCUAAAGCCAGCAUAUUGUGUUGUACACUCGCCUGUCCGCCCAGAGUGAAGUCCCAGUUAUAUUGGAUGUACUUACCUUAUGCCCAAAGCUAAAGCCAGCAUAUUGUGUUGUACACUCGCCUGUAUGCCCAAGUGAAGUCCCAGUUACCUUUGAUGUACUUACCCUAUGCCCAAAGCUAAAGCCAGCAUAUUGUGUUGUACACUCGCCUGUCUGCCCAGAGUGAAGUCCCAGUUAUAUUGGAUGUACUUACCUUAUGCCCAAAGCUAAAGCCAGCAUAUUGUGUUGUACACUCGCCUGUCUGCCCAGAGUGAAGUCCCAGUUGUAUUGGAUGUACUUACCUUAUGCCCAAAGCUAAAGCCAGCAUAUUGUGUUGUACACUCGCCUGUAUGCCCAAGUGAAACCCCAGUUGUCUUUCCUACGGACUUACUUGUGCCCCCGAGUGAAGAGCCAGCGGCCCCUCUGUCCACUAUCCGUGUCCAGUCCUGUUACACUUACCUUUAUGCUCUUGUGCAGAUCUAGCGGGUCCCUUUGAAGCGUCUACCUGCAUGUCGACUCGUCACUCAGGAUACAGAGACCGUGGAAACCCCCUCCCGUACGGUUUUAGUUGGAUCCCGGCAGCCCUUGGGCAGUUCCCCCAGCAUCUGGACGACCGGGAGUAUAAUCCGCUGGGUCGCCUCGGAGUUCGUCAAAAGUAGCAGCAGGUAUCCAUUGUGCAUCCAAACUCUCAAUACUUACCACUUGUAUCUGUUACGUCCAGGAAAGGAGAGGGCCCUGGACAGUCGUCCUGCAAGCCAGAACAAAGGGGCACUUGUGAAUAAGCUGAUUGUCGUCACAUAGCCAGAAGGAAAGAGGAGUGAAGGACUCACCUGAGAUCUCCCGUGACGGAGUCUAAGAGACUCGAGACUGUUACUCUCCAAAAGGAGGGUUGGAUUUUAGCCUCCCUUCCCCAUACCCUUUUUUUUAGUAAUUUAAUAAAGUCUGUUUUAAUAUUUACUUACCGGCUCUC
ensembl:lncRNA